AACGAACGCUGGCGGCAGGCUUAACACAUGCAAGUCGAACGCCCCGCAAGGGGAGUGGCAGACGGGUGAGUAACGCGUGGGAAUCUACCCAUCCCUACGGAACAACUCCGGGAAACUAGAGCUAAUACCGUAUACGCCCUACGGGGGGAAGAUUUAUCGGGGAUGGAUGAGCCCGCGUUGGAUUAGCUAGUUGGUGGGGUAAAGGCCUACCAAGGCGACGAUCCAUAGCUGGUCUGAGAGGAUGAUCAGCCACAUUGGGACUGAGACACGGCCCAAACUCCUACGGGAGGCAGCAGUGGGGAAUAUUGGACAAUGGGCGCAAGCCUGAUCCAGCCAUGCCGCGUGAGUGAUGAAGGUCUUAGGAUUGUAAAGCUCUUUCACCGAUGAAGAUAAUGACGGUAGUCGGAGAAGAAGCCCCGGCUAACUUCGUGCCAGCAGCAGCCGCGG
rnacentral:rRNA from 1 species